rnacentral:rRNA from 1 species
CUCUUAGAUGUUCUGGGCCGCACGCGCGCUACACUGAUGAAUUCAACGAGUUUUCCACCUUGACCGAGAGGUCCGGGAAAUCUUUUCAACUUUCAUCGUGCUGGGGAUAGAUUAUUGCAAUUAUUAAUCUUCAACGAGGAAUGCCUAGUAAGCGCAAGUCAUCAGCUUGCGUUGAUUACGUCCCUGCCCUUUGUACACACCGCCCGUCGCUCCUACCGAUUGAAUGGUCCGGUGAAGCGUUCGGACCGUGGCCUUUGGACGGUUCGCCGUCUGUUGGCUGCGGGAAGUUCGUUAAACCUUAUCAUUUAGAGGAAGGAGAAGUCGUAACA